rnacentral:lncRNA from 1 species
AUGCAAAGCGCGAUUUACUCAGUGUGACAACUAGUUGGAGACUGUGGGUUCGGACAUGGAAACACGGUCUGGGGCCGCUAAAGCUGGGUUUAAGCCGUGGAGCCUGCUGUGAUCUAUUUCAUGUUAUCUGCUAUCUGAGUGACAAGCUGUAUUCCCUAGGAAAGCUGGCUGCGGCGCCGAGUUGGCUGUCACGCCCCGCGAACCAGUGGUUCGCAGAGAGCCUUUUGUUUCCCUGCUUGCC